GAGCGAAGUUUUUCUGGUGCUUGCACCGGAAAAACUUAGCGGCGAACGGGUGAGUAACACGUAAAGAACCUGCCUCAUAGACUGGGACAACUAUUGGAAACGAUAGCUAAUACCGGAUAACAGCAUUAACUGCAUGGUUGAUGUUUAAAAGUUGGUUUUGCUAACACUAUGAGAUGGCUUUGCGGUGCAUUAGCUAGUUGGUGGGGUAAAGGCCUACCAAGGCGACGAUGCAUAGCCGACCUGAGAGGGUGAUCGGCCACACUGGGACUGAGACACGGCCCAGACUCCUACGGGAGGCAGCAGUAGGGAAUCUUCCGCAAUGGGCGAAAGCCUGACGGAGCAACGCCGCGUGAGUGAAGAAGGAUUUCGGUUCGUAAAGCUCUGUUGUUAGGGAAGAAUGAUUGUGUAGUAACUAUACACAGUAGAGACGGUACCUAACCAGAAAGCCACGGCUAACUACGUGCCAGCAGCCGCGGUAAUACGUAGGUGGCAAGCGUUGUCCGGAAUUAUUGGGCGUAAAGCGCGCGCAGGUGGUUUAAUAAGUCUGAUGUGAAAGCCCACGGCUCAACCGUGGAGGGUCAUUGGAAACUGUUAAACUUGAGUGCAGGAGAGAAAAGUGGAAUUCCUAGUGUAGCGGUGAAAUGCGUAGAGAUUAGGAGGAACACCAGUGGCGAAGGC
rnacentral:rRNA from 1 species